AUGACCUGGUGUUUCUACCACAAGAAUAUCCUAGGAGCUCACCAUGGUUUCAUUUCUACUUAUGCAUUGGCAACCCUGGUUCUGUAUAUUUUUUAUGUGAUCAACAAUUGUUUUAUUAGGCCAGAGGUGUUGCACAUAUUCAUGGAGUUUUUCAGCAAGUUUGAUUGCGAGAUAAAAAAGUCUAGCUUGUGGGAACCAGUUUCUACCAGUUACCUUCCAAAUGUGACUGGCAAUUUCUUCAGAAUUCCUAGUGCCUAUUCUUUUGGGGUGCAAAUGUUGUCAAAUGCUCAGUCUAGUUCCAAACCUAUAGAUCUUGAAGGAUAUCGUACUAAGUCCGCCUCCUUGAUGAAGAUGAAAGGGAUAAAAAGUGGGAAGAAGAGGAAGAAAACGUCAAUUGAGCAGCCGCUGGACCCUCCUGCAGAGAAAAUUCAUAUAAGAGGUGAUGAGAAAGUGGAAGAGGCAGUGUUGCCUGAUGCUCGCGUGAAGAAAUUUACUCCUAUUCGCAGGCGAAUAAAGAUACAGGAUCUCCGGAAACAAAUUAAAUUGGGGACCCGAAGCAGCUUUGAUGCCAAGGAGUGGGUUUGUGAAAAUUGCACUUGGACCAACAAGCCCCAGAAGCAUUUAAUUGCGUAUCUUCCUCCUUUCUUUUGUGAAAAUUGCCAAUAUGAUCUUCUUAAAAUGGAUAAUUAUGAAUUUUCAUUUUCGAUGGCUGAUGUCACUGUAAACGGCUUUUCACCGGUUGGCAAUAUCAAGGAUCAAGGAAAUACAGAGUAA
rnacentral:rRNA from 1 species